rnacentral:rRNA from 1 species
UACAGAGGUCCCAAGCGUUGUUCGGAUUCAUUGGGCGUAAAGGGUGCGUAGGCGGCUCGGCAAAUCGGUCGUGGAAUCUCGACGCUUACCGUCGAAACGGCGGCCGAAAAUACCGGGCUCGAGGGCGUGAGGGGUCACUGGAACUCCUGGUGAAGCGGUGAAAUGCGUAGAUAUCAGGAGGAACGCCGGAGGCGAAAGCGAGUGACUGGCGCGUUCCUGACGCUGAGGUGCGAAAGCUAGGGGAGCAAACAGG